CACUACUACACACAGAUAGAACAGGAGAAGGUGAGGACACUACUACACACAGAGACCAAGAUAGAACAGGAGAAGGUGAGGACACUACUACACACAGAGACCCAGAUAGAACAGGAGAAGGUGAGGACACUACUACACACAGAGACCCAGAUAGAACAGGAGAAGGUGAGGACACUACUACACACAGAGACCAAGAUAGAAGGUGAGGACACUACUACACACAGAGACCCAGAUAGAACAGGAGAAGGUGAGGACACUACUACACACAGACACCCAGAGAGAACAGGAGAAGGUGAGGACACUACUACACACAGAGACCAAGAUAGGUGAGGACACUACUACACACAGACACCCAGAUAGAACAGGAGAAGGUGAGGACACUACUACACACAGAGACCCAGAUAGAACAGGAGAAGGUGAGGACACUACUACACACAGAGACCAAGAUAGAAGGUGAGGACACUACUACACACAGAGACCCAGAGAGAACAGGAGAAAGUGAGGACACUACUACACACAGAGACCCAGAGAGAACAGGAGAAGGUGAGGACACUACUACACACAGACAGCCAGAGAGAACAGGAGAAGGUGAGGACACUACUACACACAGAGACCCAGAUAGAACAGGAGAAAGUGAGGACACUACUACACACAGAGACCAAUAUAGAACAGGAGAAGGUGAGGACACUACUACACACAGAGACCCAGAUAGAACAGGAGAAAGUGAGGACACUACUACACACAGAGACCCAGAUAGAAGGUGAGGACACUACUACACACAGAGACCCAGAUAGAACAGGAGAAAGUGAGGACACUACUACACACAGAGACCAAGAUAGAACAGGAGAAGGUGAGGACACUACUACACACAGAGACCCAGAUAGAAGGUGAGGACACUACUACACACAGAGACCCAGAUAGAAGGUGAGGACACUACUACACACAGAGACCCAGAUAGAACAGGAGAAGGUGAGGACACUACUACACACAGAGACCCAGAUAGAAGGUGAGGACACUACUACACACAGAGACCCAGAUAGAAGGUGAGGACACUACUACACACAGAGACCCAGAUAGAAGGUGAGGACACUACUACACACAGAGACCCAGAUAGAAGGUGAGGACACUACUACACACAGAGACCCAGAUAGAAGGUGAGGACACUACUACACACAGAGACCCAGAUAGAAGGUGAGGACACUACUACACACAGAGACCCAGAUAGAAGGUGAGGACACUACUACACACAGAGACCCAGAUAGAAGGUGAGGACACUACUACACACAGAGACCCAGAUAGAACAGGAGAAGGUGAGGACACUACUACACACAGAGACCCAGAUAGAACAGGAGAAGGUGAGGACACUACUACACACAGAGACCCAGAGAGAACAGGAGAAGGUGAGGACACUACUACACACAGACAGCCAGAGAGAACAGGAGAAGGUGAGGACACUACUACACCCAGAGACCCAGAGAGAACAGGAGAAGGUGAGGACACUACUACACACAGAGACCAAUAUAGAACAGGAGAAGGUGAGGACACUACUACACACAGAGACCCAGAUAGAAGGUGAGGACACUACUACACACAGACACCCAGAGAGAACAGGAGAAGGUGAGGACACUACUACACACAGAGACCCAGAGAGAACAGGAGAAGGUGAGGACACUACUACACACAGAGACCCAGAUAGAACAGGAGAAGGUGAGGACACUACUACACACAGAGACCCAGAUAGAAGGUGAGGACACUACUACACACAGAGACCCAGAUAGAACAGGAGAAGGUGAGGACACUACUACACACAGAGACCCAGAUAGAACAGGAGAAGGUGAGGACACUACUACACACAGAGACCAAUAUAGAACAGGAGAAGGUGAGGACACUACUACACACAGAGACCCAGAUAGAAGGUGAGGACACUACUACACCCAGAGAGAACAGGAGAAGGUGAGGACACUACUACACACAGAGACCCAGAUAGAACAGGAGAAGGCGAGGACACUACUACACACAGAUAGAACAGGAGAAGGUGAGGACACUACUACACACAGAGACCAAGAUAGAACAGGAGAAGGUGAGGACACUACUACACACAGAGACCCAGAUAGAACAGGAGAAGGUGAGGACACUACUACACACAGAGACCCAGAUAGAACAGGAGAAGGUGAGGACACUACUACACACAGAGACCAAGAUAGAAGGUGAGGACACUACUACACACAGAGACCCAGAUAGAACAGGAGAAGGUGAGGACACUACUACACACAGACACCCAGAGAGAACAGGAGAAGGUGAGGACACUACUACACACAGAGACCAAGAUAGGUGAGGACACUACUACACACAGACACCCAGAUAGAACAGGAGAAGGUGAGGACACUACUACACACAGAGACCCAGAUAGAACAGGAGAAGGUGAGGACACUACUACACACAGAGACCAAGAUAGAAGGUGAGGACACUACUACACACAGAGACCCAGAGAGAACAGGAGAAAGUGAGGACACUACUACACACAGAGACCCAGAGAGAACAGGAGAAGGUGAGGACACUACUACACACAGAGACCCAGAUAGAAGGUGAGGACACUACUACACACAGAGACCCAGAUAGAAGGUGAGGACACUACUACACACAGAGACCCAGAUAGAAGGUGAGGACACUACUACACACAGAGACCCAGAUAGAAGGUGAGGACACUACUACACACAGAGACCCAGAUAGAAGGUGAGGACACUACUACACACAGAGACCCAGAUAGAAGGUGAGGACACUACUACACACAGAGACCCAGAUAGAAGGUGAGGACACUACUACACACAGAGACCCAGAUAGAACAGGAGAAGGUGAGGACACUACUACACACAGAGACCCAGAUAGAACAGGAGAAGGUGAGGACACUACUACACACAGAGACCCAGAGAGAACAGGAGAAGGUGAGGACACUACUACACACAGACAGCCAGAGAGAACAGGAGAAGGUGAGGACACUACUACACCCAGAGACCCAGAGAGAACAGGAGAAGGUGAGGACACUACUACACACAGAGACCAAUAUAGAACAGGAGAAGGUGAGGACACUACUACACACAGAGACCCAGAUAGAAGGUGAGGACACUACUACACACAGACACCCAGAGAGAACAGGAGAAGGUGAGGACACUACUACACACAGAGACCCAGAGAGAACAGGAGAAGGUGAGGACACUACUACACACAGAGACCCAGAUAGAACAGGAGAAGGUGAGGACACUACUACACACAGAGACCCAGAUAGAAGGUGAGGACACUACUACACACAGAGACCCAGAUAGAACAGGAGAAGGUGAGGACACUACUACACACAGAGACCCAGAUAGAACAGGAGAAGGUGAGGACACUACUACACACAGAGACCAAUAUAGAACAGGAGAAGGUGAGGACACUACUACACACAGAGACCCAGAUAGAAGGUGAGGACACUACUACACCCAGAGAGAACAGGAGAAGGUGAGGACACUACUACACACAGAGACCCAGAUAGAACAGGAGAAGGCGAGGACACU